AAAGUUCACUUCAACAACAACAACAGGAGUGACAAUCCUGUGAGUAUCAGUGAGACAGAGACAGCGACAGUAAAACCUGCUAACCCUCUUGGUUAAAUCUGGACGGCCUUUUUCCCUUGAAGAAAAAUCAUCUGAGGUCCAUCCAAACUAGCUAAAUGUUGCAGACUGACUCAAACUGCAUCUUGAGUUAAAUAGUAAUUUCAUAACUGACUGAAGCAAAUUAACGAUAACCAGCGACGAAGCUUGCAAGGUGUUUGCAGUAAGUAAGUUUAUGAAGGGCUGCCUCCUCCAUGACAUCUCCAGGGACCGCCGCUUAAACUCCGCUUCACGUUAGAGACAAUACAAGGAUUACACAGCAGGUAUGCCAGUGGAAACGAUUGCCUGACCUGGGCAAACCCCCUCCCGAGCUCGCCAUUAGAAGCCUGCACAUCUGAGAGCAUCAAAACGGAACGGUAUGGAGGUGCUAAGUGGUCCCUGGGCUAAUCUCGCUCUGCUGCUUAGACAGACAGUCGGUCAGACAGACGGCGACACAGACAGCUCGUUGCCCACCAGCCUGCUGGUCCUGGUGCUAUUCCUGUCUGUCCCUCUGCUCAUGAUGCAGCUGAUCGUCUACCUACGCUGGAAAGUCAAAGAGGUUGAGGAUGAGAUAUCGGAGUCUGUUGAGAACAGAAGCGCCAUCCACAGGCCAAUGUGCAGAACUUCACUUCCGAGACGAAGAAGGAGCGUCGGCUGACACACGCCCACACACACACACACACACACACACACACACACACACACACACACACACACACACCUGAUACACUAGGCCAGAGACAGUCAGACUGGUGAGAUGAAGCCUCUCCUCUCUUUAACAUGUUUGUCCUAUUGGAUCCAGGAUAAUACUGUUAACAUGCAUGGAUAAGUAGACACGUUCCAUGCAUGUUACAAUACUGAUCCUGUCUGCAAAGGAUGUUCAGUAACCCUGGACAAGUUACAUGGGGACUAGCUGUGCCUUCAACUGAUGGAUGUAGAACUUCUAAAAAAAAAAAAAAGAUAAUAUGUAUAAAAAUGAACCUGUUAAAAUUCAAAAUGCCAAAACAAACUUACUCAUAUGAAGCUCUUGGUUGACGGCUGCACCUCUGAGAAGCCAAGAGCUGAAGGUAGCCUUUAUGGGGAAGGAUUUGCUCUAGGGACAAGGAAUACCCUCAUUUUAAAAUAUGGCUUUAUUAAAAACAAAAAAAGGCUCCCAUGCUCUUAAAUACAUAGAGAUGAUCUUUUAAACUCAUAUGUGUUUUGCUGACUUUAUAAUAUUGAUAUAACAGGUGAAGACAUAUGGACACUAAAUCUGAAAGUAGUACUUUUAAGAGAAAUCCUGACCUUGGGUCCCCCGGCACAAACAGAGCAAUAUAGUGUACGCCGUUAAGUGCUAGGAUUGCCAUGACUUGUACAUCGGGGAAACUAAACAGACACUGGCCAAGAGGAUGGCACAACACAGGAGAGCUCACAGGUCAGGCCAGCACUCUGCAGCCUACACCAUCUACAGGCUAGUGGCCACUCUUUCAAGGAUGAGGAUGUGCACAUCCUUGACAGGGAGGAAUGAUGGUUUGAAUGGGGAGUCAAAGAGGCCAUCUAUGUGAAGGGGAACGACCAUCCCUGAACCGGGGGGGGGGGGGGGGCUAAGAGUACAUCUGUCACCAUCUUACAAUGUUGUGAUGGCAAACAUUCCAAAAUCCUCUGUGAAUAGUACACAAGGCCAUUGGAAACAGUUGUUAACGGUCACGCCCAUAUUUGCAUAUGAAACGGAUCGUUGGUUCUGGUUGUUAUGCAACAGUAUUGUUUAUAAGGGAGGGGACACCUGCAGUCAGUUGAGAGUGAAGGGGUCACUUAGAUGAGUGACGAAACAUUUCCCUCUCAUUAAAUGUAUCUGGAUGAACUGACUCAACUUUCUGUGAUUUUCUUACCUGGAUUAUUGAGCAUGCAUCAAGACACAAGUUCUAACCAUACACUCAGAAGUGCUACGUUAUCCUGCUUAAAUCCUGACAUCUACAGUUGAGUGAUGCAAAUUACAACAAAUCAAAUCAAAGCAAACAAGACAGACAAACAUAUGAAAAUAGAUAGGUAAUGGACACAGCACACGUCCACAUUGUUUGUUGAGGACAGCCUGAA